AUGAACGCUGGCGGCGUGCCUAAUACAUGCAAGUCGAGCGAACGGACGAGAAGCUUGCUUUUCUGAUGUUAGCGGCGGACGGGUGAGUAACACGUGGAUAACCUACCUAUAAGACUGGGAUAACUUCGGGAAACCGGAGCUAAUACCGGAUAAUAUUUUGAACCGCAUGGUUCAAAAGUGAGAGACGGUCUUGCUGUCACUUAUAGAUGGAUCCGCGCUGCAUUAGCUAGUUGGUAAGGUAACGGCUUACCAAGGCAACGAUGCAUAGCCGACCUGAGAGGGUGAUCGGCCACACUGGAACUGAGACACGGUCCAGACUCCUACGGGAGGCAGCAGUAGGGAAUCUUCCGCAAUGGGCGAAAGCCUGACGGAGCAACGCCGCGUGAGUGAUGAAGGUCUUCGGAUCGUAAAACUCUGUUAUUAGGGAAGAACAUAUGUGUAAGUAACUGUGCACAUCUUGACGGUACCUAAUCAGAAAGCCACGGCUAACUACGUG
rnacentral:rRNA from 1 species